GAUGAACGCUAGCGAUAGGCUUAACACAUGCAAGUCGAGGGGCAUCAAAGGUAGUAGCAAUACUAUUGUUGGCGACCGGCGCACGGGUGAGUAACACGUAUGCAACCUACCCAUAACAGGAGGAUAGCCCGUUGAAAGACGGAUUAAUACUCCAUAAUAUUUAGAGAUCGCAUGAUUUUUAGAUUAAAGAUAAUCGGUUAUGGAUGGGCCUGCGUUCCAUUAGGUAGUUGGUAUGGGUAAUGGCCUACCAAGCCUACGAUGGAUAGGGGAACGGAGAGGUUUGUCCCCAACACUGGUACUGGGAAACGGACCAGAUUCCAACGGGGGGCAGCAGUGAGGAAUAUUGGUCAAGGGUAGGGAGACUAAACAAGCCAAAUCGCGUGAAGGAUGAAGGUAUAUGUAUUGUAAACUUCUUUUAUAAGGGAAUAAAGUGUAGGAUGUAUCCUAUUUUGUACGUACCUUAUGAAUAAGCAUCGGCUAACUCCGUGCCAGCCGCCGCAGUAAUAC
rnacentral:rRNA from 1 species